rnacentral:rRNA from 1 species
UGGGGAAUUUUGGACAAUGGGCGAAAGCCUGAUCCAGCAAUGCCGCGUGUGUGAAGAAGGCCUUCGGGUUGUAAAGCACUUUUGUCCGGAAAGAAAUCCUUGGCUCUAAUACAGUCGGGGGAUGACGGUACCGGAAGAAUAAGCACCGGCUAACUACGUGCCAGCAGCCGCGGUAAUACGUAGGGUGCAAGCGUUAAUCGGAAUUACUGGGCGUAAAGCGUGCGCAGGCGGUUUGCUAAGACCGAUGUGAAAUCCCCGGGCUCAACCUGGGAACUGCGUUGGUGACUGGCAGGCUAGAGUAUGGCAGAGGGGGGUAGAAUUCCACGUGUAGCAGUGAAAUGCGUAGAGAUGUGGAGGAAUACCGAUGGCGAAGGCAGCCCCCUGGGCCAAUACUGACGCUCAUGCACGAAAGCGUGGGGAGCAAACAGGAUUAGAUACCCUGGUAGUCCACGCCCUAAACGAUGUCAACUAGUUGUUGGGGAUUCAUUUCCUUAGUAACGUAGCUAACGCGUGAAGUUGACCGCCUGGGGAGUACGGUCGCAAGAUUAAAACUCAAAGGAAUUGACGGGGUCAUAGCUGUUUCCU